rnacentral:lncRNA from 1 species
AUUGAUGGGUUCAUAAUUGGAUGGACUAUUGGGUGAAGAACCCAGCUAAUUCCAUCUUAAUAUUGGGAGCCAUCUUGUCACAGAGUCAUGAGAAGUUAAUUUCUGUUUUACUAUAAAUUACUGAGAUUUCUAAAUUUGUUUGGAAUUCCUGCCCAUGCCCUGAAGUCACCCAUGCCUGGCUCUCCUUGACCAGAUAGCAACCCUCUCUAAAACCUUAGUGGGGCCUCAUAAAUUCUGGCUCCUCCUGACCAGAUAACAACCCUUUCUGAAACCUCAGCAACGCCUCAUGAAUUCUGAUCUUGGGAUCUGAGUUUACUCCCUAUCUUGAAAUAUCUUGCCAUAUAGAUCAUUAAUCUGCCAUCUGUCUUUGUAUUAUGUUUGCCAGAACCCUGUUAGCUGUAAGUUCCCAAGACAACCCCCUUUGUAACUUUUUGUACUAUAUAAACCUUUU